rnacentral:rRNA from 1 species
ACGCUGGCGGCAGGCUUAACACAUGCAAGUCGAACGGUAACAGGAGAAAGCUUGCUUUCUUGCUGACGAGUGGCGGACGGGUGAGUAAUGCUUGGGAAUCUGGCUUAUGGAGGGGGAUAACGACGGGAAACUGUCGCUAAUACCGCGUAGAGUCGAGAGACGAAAGUGCGGGACCGCAAGGCCGCAUGCCAUAGGAUGAGCCCAAGUGGGAUUAGGUAGUUGGUGGGGUAAUAGCCUACCAAGCCGACGAUCUCUAGCUGGUCUGAGAGGAUGACCAGCCACACCGGGACUGAGACACGGCCCGGACUCCUACGGGAGGCAGCAGUGGGGAAUAUUGCGCAAUGGGGGCAACCCUGACGCAGCCAUGCCGCGUGAAUGAAGAAGGCCUUCGGGUUGUAAAGUUCUUUCGGUAUUGAGGAAGGUUGUUGUGUUAAUAGCACGACAAAUUGACGUUAAAUACAGAAGAAGCACCGGCUAAUUCCGUGCCAGCAGCCGCGGUAAUACGGAGGGUGCGAGCGUUAAUCGGAAUAACUGGGCGUAAAGGGCACGCAGGCGGACUUUUAAGUGAGGUGUGAAAUCCCCGGGCUUAACCUGGGAAUUGCAUUUCAGACUGGGAGUCUAGAGUACUUUAGGGAGGGGUAGAAUUCCACGUGUAGCGGUGAAAUGCGUAGAGAUGUGGAGGAAUACCGAAGGCGAAGGCAGCCCCUUGGGAAUGUACUGACGCUCAUGUGCGAAAGCGUGGGGAGCAAACAGGAUUAGAUACCCUGGUAGUCCACGCUGUAAACGCUGUCGAUUUGGGGAUUGGGCUUUAAGCUUGGUGCCCGAAGCUAACGUGAUAAAUCGACCGCCUGGGGAGUACGGCCGCAAGGUUAAAACUCAAAUGAAUUGACGGGGGCCCGCACAAGCGGUGGAGCAUGUGG